rnacentral:lncRNA from 1 species
UGUAUAAUGACCUUAAUCUUUUCCUUCCUUCCUGAAUCAUGGAACAUCUAUUUAAAAAGAUAAAGGUCUCUCAUAUCUCUGUUUCUAUUUUUUUUUUUUAGAAGAAAUGCUUUGUCAACGAUCUUCAAAAAAGAGGAAGAGGUAUGCAGCCAACAAGAAGGUGAAAGCAGCCAUGAAAACAAUCGUGUUUCAUUGACAAAUGGAUAGCAUAGUACUACUGGUUCAUUUCUAAUAAGAUGGAGAUAUCCUGAAUACUUAGCUCAGCGGGAUGUUUAGGAAUGAAUGUGAAUUCUUCCACAAGGAUGAGAGCAAACAGAUAACUUUAUUUUCAUGCACAACUGUGAUUAAAAUGCUUUGCUGCCAGCACACCAAGAAGCUCUAUUUCCACCCAUGCCCUUCAGAAGCAGGCCUUGUCUGUGUGUCCUCCCGCACGUGCUGUUACCUUCAGACCCACUGAAUUCCUCUGGCUGCUGUUAUGUCCUCUGGCAUAAGAAGCCUUUAGGUUCAGCUGAAGAACCUAGAAGACUGAUGCUACUGAAGUAAUGUAAUCUUCAUACAUAUGGCACAGCCCAAAAUAUCUGUUGUCUUUCUCGUGAUAAGAUCAAAGAAAAGGCCCAACUUACCUAGAAGAAAUUCUGGCAAGCUUUCUGGAUACUCACCUGAUUCCUUCAAUAAUAAUAGAACAGUUUUAAGGUUGAGGAAUGACACAUAAAGAGCUUGUCCUAUGGUCUUUGGCACUCUGUGGCUCUUUUAGUACUCUGUUUUCCAAAACGUACUCAUGCCUUGUAACUCACACAAGUUUCCUAGGGUUGCAUUAGUGCAUUUAAGAUGGCAGAUGGGUCAUCCUAGACUGGUUCAUAAAAGCAAAAUAAACUCAAUAUUCUUCCACA